GAUGAACGCUGGCGGCGUGCCUAAUACAUGCAAGUCGAGCGAACAGACGAGGAGCUUGCUCCUCUGACGUUAGCGGCGGACGGGUGAGUAACACGUGGAUAACCUACCUAUAAGACUGGGAUAACUUCGGGAAACCGGAGCUAAUACCGGAUAAUAUAUUGAACCGCAUGGUUCAAUAGUGAAAGACGGUUUUGCUGUCACUUAUAGAUGGAUCCGCGCCGCAUGAGCUAGUUGGUAAGGUAACGGCUUACCAAGGCAACGAUUCGUAGCCGACCUGAGAGGGUGAUCGGCCACACUGGAACUGAGACACGGUCCAGACUCCUACGGGAGGCAGCAGUAGGGAAUCUUCCGCAAUGGGCGAAAGCCUGGCGGAGCAACGCCGCGUGAGUGAUGAAGGUCUUCGGAUCGUAAAACUCUGUUAUUAGGGAAGAACAAAUGUGUAAGUAACUAUGCACGUCUUGACGGUACCUAAUCAGAAAGCCACGGCUAACUACGUG
rnacentral:rRNA from 1 species